CAGUAGCCGCGGGAAUACAGAGGGUGCAAGCGUUAAUCGGAAUUACUGGGCGUAAAGCGCGCGUAGGUGGUUUGUUAAGUUGGAUGUGAAAGCCCCGGGCUCAACCUGGGAACUGCAUCCAAAACUGGCAAGCUAGAGUACGGUAGAGGGUGGUGGAAUUUCCUGUGUAGCGGUGAAAUGCGUAGAUAUAGGAAGGAACACCAGUGGCGAAGGCGACCACCUGGACUGAUACUGACACUAAGGUGCGAAAGCGUGGGGAGCAAACAGGAUUAGAUACCCCUGUAGUCCCUGUCUCUUAUAC
rnacentral:rRNA from 1 species